rnacentral:rRNA from 1 species
CGAAUGGGCGAAAGCCUGAUCCAGCAACGCCGCGUGAGGGAUGACGGCCUUCGGGUUGUAAACCUCUUUCAGCAGGGACGAAGCGCAAGUGACGGUACCUGCAGAAGAAGCACCGGCCAACUACGUGCCAGCAGCCGCGGUAAUACGUAGGGUGCGAGCGUUGUCCGGAAUUAUUGGGCGUAAAGGGCUCGUAGGCGGUUUGUCACGUCGGGAGUGAAAACUCGGGGCUUAACCCCGAGCCUGCUUCCGAUACGGGCUGACUAGAGGUAUGCAGGGGAGAACGGAAUUCCUGGUGUAGCGGUGAAAUGCGCAGAUAUCAGGAGGAACACCGGUGGCGAAGGCGGUUCUCUGGGCAUUACCUGACGCUGAGGAGCGAAAGUGUGGGGAGCGAACAGGAUUAGAUACCCUGGUAGUCCACACCGUAAACGUUGGGCGCUAGGUGUGGGACUCAUUCCACGAGUUCCGUGCCGCAGCUAACGCAUUAAGCGCCCCGCCUGGGGAGUACGGCCGCAAGGCUA